UGGGGAAUAUUGGACAAUGGGCGCAAGCCUGAUCCAGCCAUGCCGCGUGAGUGAUGAAGGCCCUAGGGUUGUAAAGCUCUUUCACCGGUGAAGAUAAUGACGGUAACCGGAGAAGAAGCCCCGGCUAACUUCGUGCCAGCAGCCGCGGUAAUACGAAGGGGGCUAGCGUUGUUCGGAUUUACUGGGCGUAAAGCGCACGUAGGCGGACUUUUAAGUCAGGGGUGAAAUCCCGGGGCUCAACCCCGGAACUGCCUUUGAUACUGGAAGUCUUGAGUAUGGUAGAGGUGAGUGGAAUUCCGAGUGUAGAGGUGAGAUUCGUAGAUAUUCGGAGGCACACCAGUGGCGAACGCAGCUCUCUGGACCAUUACUGACGCUGAGGUGCGAAAGCGUGGGGAGCAAACAGG
rnacentral:rRNA from 1 species